rnacentral:rRNA from 1 species
AAUAGAUACCCAGGUAGUCCACGCCGUAAACGAUGAGUGCUAAGUGUUAGAGGGUUUCCGCCCUUUAGUGCUGCAGCUAACGCAUUAAGCACUCCGCCUGGGGAGUACGGCCGCAAGGCUGAAACUCAAAGGAAUUGACGGGGGCCCGCACAAGCGGUGGAGCAUGUGGUUUAAUUCGAAGCAACGCGAAGAACCUUACUAGGUCUUGACAUCCUCUGCCAACCCUAGAGAUAGGGCGUUCCCCUUCGGGGGACAGAGUGACAGGUGGUGCAUGGUUGUCGUCAGCUCGUGUCGUGAGAUGUUGGGUUAAGUCCCGCAACGAGCGCAACCCUUGAUCUUAGUUGCCAGCAUUCAGUUGGGCACUCUAAGGUGACUGCCGGUGACAAACCGGAGGAAGGUGGGGAUGACGUCAAAUCAUCAUGCCCCUUAUGACCUGGGCUACACACGUGCUACAAUGGAUGGUACAAAGAGUUGCGAACCCGCGAGGGUAAGCCAAUCUCAUAAAGCCAUUCUCAGUUCGGAUUGUAGG